AUUUUCUUACGAUCUGUCGGCCUUUUUCAACUUUUGUUACAAUAUACACAAGAAUAAAUAAUUUGAAGUCAACCUAAAAAAUUGAGCAAAUCAUUGAAAUUGAUUUCCUUGUUACCAUAGCAUUGGCGGCUCUAAACAAAUGCACAUUCAGUCGAGUUUCAGAAUGAAAAAAUUGUCUUUAACUGAGGCAUUAACUGAUAAUGUGCUUGAAAGCGGUUCUCAAGAUUGGCUCCUACAUGCUCGAUAUGUGAGAGGGGAGCACGCUCAAUGCCUUGACCUGGCUGAUGAUUUGCAGAAAAAAAACGACAAUAAACACAUAUAUGCAUUCUACAUAAAGGGUUCAGUGCUAGCAGACGCAGGUCGGAUACAAGAAGCGUUAGAAAAGUUUCACAGCUGUCUACGACUGCAGCCCAGAGAUCCAGAGCCCUUGAAACAAGUCGCUAAAUGCCUUUACAAACAAGGACGCUACCAGCUUUCAUACGAAGCUUAUUUGGAAGCUGAUAAACUCAGCCAACAUCCCGACGCCGAUAUCUAUUGUGCUUUAGCUGAAUGUCUCUGGAAUUUGGGUGAUGUGGACCACGGCGUGGAGUGGGCUCGAUCCGCGGUGCAAGCUGGAGGCGGCGAACGGGCAAGCUCUUUGCUAGCGAAAAUGUUACUCGCCACUAACAACGUGAAUGGAGCUUUAGCAGCUUAUGACGAAGCGCUUUCCGCACACGCAUGCGGUGCGGACACUAUGGCCGCAGCGGGGGCUCUGAGACUUCGAGCAGGUGAUCCCCGUCGUGCGUUCCAACUACUAGGGGCAGCUCUAGCUCAGCAACCGUCUCACCACGCCGCAGCACUGGCCCUCGCCGCCAUGAUGCUGCAGCACAAAGACGUUGAUGCGUCUUUAGCUAGAUUAAAGACUGCAUUGACAGCACACCCGGAAUGCGUGGCGGCACAUACUAACUUGGGACUCGCUCUGAUUGCGAAGAAGAAAUUUGUUGCCGCGUUGACAUGUCUUCAGCGGGCGGUUUGGGCCGCGCCAUUAAACGGUCGCGCGGCUCAUGACUUGGGCCUAGCCUUGUUGGUUUGUAAGAGACCCACCUCAGCAUUUUGCAGAUUGGCUGCGGCAGCUGCCCUACAACCAUCUCAACCUUACACCGUUCUGCUAAUAGCUAUUGCUCUCGAGCGACUGGAUGACAGCAGAUCGGAUGCUGCUUACGCCCGGGCGGUAAGGUUGUCACCUCAAGAUCCUCUCAUUCGAAUGAACAUGGCCGGCAGACAUGCGAGAACAGGACGCCUGUCUCAAGCUCUGGAAGAGGCAGAGAUUGUUGCUGAACUCCUGCGGGGAGAUGACACGCCUGACCCUCAUUUGUCAAGUUCUCUGGCGUCACUCCUGGCAGCAUUGCACUAUGCAGGGGCGCAGCUGUCAGAGUCAACAUCAAGCUUGCCUGAUGCAGAUUCAGCCCUGUCUGCAAACUCUCCCGCAUCAGAUGAUGUCAAUAUGGGCCCUGAUGAAGUUUAGAAAAACUCCGAAAUGUUUCGUUUCGACUCUAGUUAAUUUUUGGGAAGUCUACAAUUUCUAUACUUAACGAUUUCAUAUUGUGUACUUGGAAUAAUGUAAAAUAAUGUAAUUGACGUCGUUAUCAGUAACAGUAUCGGAAAACAUAAAAUAUUUUGUUAUUUCUGUGAAAUGUUUCAUUUGGGUUUUUUCGUUUUAACAUUCUGUGUUUAUGGUAUUAACAGCAAAAACAGGACAGCUAGUCUUGUCGUUCUGCCACCCCUCGUUUUAGGAUACGAUGAGUUAUACGACGAAAACACGGAAGACGCUAAAGACGAAGGGAAUAAAAACAUUGAGGCAAAUGAUAAAAUUGACAUUCCUGUGAUGAACAAUAACGAAGAAGAUAAACCUGUGGCAGGCGAAUAAUAAAAUAUUUAAAAACG